CCUACGGGUGGCUGCAGUGGGGAAUAUUGGACAAUGGGGGCAACCCUGAUCCAGCCAUGCCGCGUGUGUGAAGAAGGCCCUCGGGUUGUAAAGCACUUUCAGUGAGGAAGAACGCCUGGUGGUUAAUACCCAUCAGGAAAGACAUCACUCACAGAAGAAGCACCGGCUAACUCCGUGCCAGCAGCCGCGGGAAUACGGAGGGUGCGAGCGUUAAUCGGAAUUACUGGGCGUAAAGCGCGCGUAGGUGGCUUGAUAAGCCGGUUGUGAAAGCCCCGGGCUCAACCUGGGAACGGCAUCCGGAACUGUCAAGCUAGAGUGCAGGAGAGGAAGGUAGAAUUCCCGGUGUAGCGGUGAAAUGCGUAGAGAUCGGGAGGAAUACCAGUGGCGAAGGCGGCCUUCUGGACUGACACUGACACUGAGGUGCGAAAGCGUGGGUAGCAAACAGGAUUAGAUACCCCAGUAGUC
rnacentral:rRNA from 1 species